GGAGUUAGUGGCGGACGGGUGAGUAACACGUGGGAACGUGCCUUUAGGUUCGGAAUAACUCAGGGAAACUUGUGCUAAUACCGAAUGUGCCCUUCGGGGGAAAGAUUUAUCGCCUUUAGAGCGGCCCGCGUCUGAUUAGCUAGUUGGUGGGGUAAUGGCCCACCAAGGCUACGAUCAGUAGCUGGUCUGAGAGGAUGACCAGCCACAUUGGGACUGAGACACGGCCCAAACUCCUACGGGAGGCAGCAGUGGGGAAUCUUGCGCAAUGGGCGAAAGCCUGACGCAGCCAUGCCGCGUGUAUGAUGAAGGUCUUAGGAUUGUAAAAUACUUUCACCGGUGAAGAUAAUGACUGUAGCCGGAGAAGAAGCCCCGGCUAACUUCGUGCCAGCAGCCGCGGUAAUACGAAGGGGGCUAGCGUUGCUCGGAAUUACUGGGCGUAAAGGGAGCGUAGGCGGACAUUUAAGUCAGAGGUGAAAUCCCGGAGCUUAACUUCGGAACUGCCUUUGAUACUGGGUGUCUUGAGUGUGAGAGAGGUAUGUGGAACUCCGAGUGUAGAGGUGAAAUUCGUAGAUAUUCGGAAGAACACCAGUGGCGAAGGCGACAUACUGGCUCAUUACUGACGCUGAGGCUCGAAAGCGUGGGGAGCAAACAGGAUUAGAUACCCUGGUAGUCCACGCCGUAAACGAUGAUUGCUAGUUGUC
rnacentral:rRNA from 1 species